rnacentral:sRNA from 1 species
AGAUAGACAGAUCUAGACUGCAUUAUAUAAUUUUAUUUGGAAAUAAAUAACUUAAAAACUCACAUGAAAUUUUCGUUUUCAACAGCAAAGAAUUAGUGACGAUUCGAAAGACAGAAUCAUCACUUCUCAAAAGAAUUUCGGAACAUUUAAUAGUGUCUCCAUCCUCAAAAAAUUAAAGCAUCCACAUAUCUGGGAAGAACAAACUUCUCACCAAACUCUAGAAAUACUAAAC